rnacentral:rRNA from 1 species
AUCUACGGCCAUGCCACAUGCUCGAUCUCGAUCUCGUCUCAUCUGUCUCAUCUCGGAAGCUUAAGCAGGGUCGGGCUGGUUAGUCCUUGGAUGGAAGACCACCCAGGAAGACCAGGUGCUGUAGGCG